rnacentral:rRNA from 1 species
AGUGAACGCUGGCGGUAGGCCUAACACAUGCAAGUCGAACGGCAGCACAGGAGAGCUUGCUCUCUGGGUGGCGAGUGGCGGACGGGUGAGGAAUACAUCGGAACCUACUUUUUCGUGGGGGAUAACGUAGGGAAACUUACGCUAAUACCGCAUACGACCUACGGGUGAAAGCAGGGGACCUUCGGGCCUUGCGCGAUUGAAUGAGCCGAAGUAGGAUUAGCUAGUUGGCGGGGUAAAGGCCCACCAAGGCGACGAUCCGUAGAUGGUCUGAGAGGAUGAUCGGCCACACUGGAACUGAGACACGGUCCAGACUCCUACGGGAGGCAGCAGUGGGGAAUAUUGGACAAUGGGCGCAAGCCUGAUCCAGCCAUACCGCGUGGGUGAAGAAGGCCUUCGGGUUGUAAAGCCCUUUUGUUGGGAAGGAAAUCCAGCUGGCUAAUACCCGGUUGGGAUGACGGUACCCAAAGAAUAAGCACCGGCUAACUUCGUGCCAGCCGCCGCGGUAA